rnacentral:rRNA from 1 species
UGAGGAAUAUUGCACAAUGGGCGCAAGCCUGAUGCAGCAAUGCCGCGUGAGGGACGAAGGCCUUCGGGUCGUAAACCUCUUUUCUGGGGGACGAGUAAGGACGGUACCCCAGGAAUAAGUCUCGGCUAACUACGUGCCAGCAGCCGCGGUAAAACGUAGGAGGCGAGCGUUAUCCGGAUUUACUGGGCGUAAAGCGUACGCAGGUGGCUUCGUUAGUCGGACACGAAAGCUCCUGGCUUAACUGGGAGAGGUUGUUCGAUACUGCGGGGCUUGAGGCUGGGAGAGGGACGUGGAAUUCCCGGUGUAGUGGUGGAAUGCGUAGAUAUCGGGAGGAACACCAGUGGCGCAAGCGGCGUCCUGGCCCACACCUGACGCUGAGGUACGAAAGCGUGGGUAGCAAACAG